GAUGAACGCUGGCGGCGUGCCUAAUACAUGCAAGUCGAGCGAACAGACGAGGAGCUUGCUCCUCUGACGUUAGCGGCGGACGGGUGAGUAACACGUGGAUAACCUACCUAUAAGACUGGGAUAACUUCGGGAAACCGGAGCUAAUACCGGAUAAUAUAUUGAACCGCAUGGUUCAAUAGUGAAAGACGGUUUUGCUGUCACUUAUAGAUGGAUCCGCGCCGCAUUAGCUAGUUGGUAAGGUAACGGCUUACCAAGGCAACGAUGCGUAGCCGACCGGAGAGAGUGAUCGGCCACACUGGAACUGAGACAGGGGCCAGACUCCUGCGGGAGGCAGCAGUAGGGAAUCGUCCGCAAUGGGCGAAAGCCUGACGGAGCAACGCCGCGUGAGUGAUGAAGGUGUUCGGAUCGUAAAACUCUGUUAUUAGGGAAGAACAAAUGUGUAAGUAACUAUGCCCGUCGUGACGGUACCUAAUCAGAAAGCCACGGCUAACUACGUG
rnacentral:rRNA from 1 species